CCAAUAGCGUAUAUUAAAGUUGUUGCAGUUAAAAAGCUCGUAGUUGAAUUUCGGGGUCAAUAAGUUGGUCGUGCCAAUGGUAUGCACUGGCUUUAUUGAUUCCUACCUCUUGACGAACUGUGAUGCCAUUAAUUUGGUGUUGCAAGGAAUCAGGACUGUUACCUUGAAAAAAUUAGAGUGUUUAAAGCAAGCUUACGCUUGAAUACAUUAGCAUGGAAUAAUGAAAUAGGACGUUUGAUCCUAUUUUGUUGGUUUCUAGGAUCGACGUAAUGAUUAAUAGGGAUAGUUGGGGGCAUUAGUAUUCAAUUGUCAGAGGUGAAAUUCUUGGAUUUAUUGAAGACUAACUACUGCGAAAGCAUUUGCCAAGGAUGUUUUCAUUAAUCAAGAACGAAAGUUAGGGGAUCGAAGACGAUCAGAUACCGUCGUAGUCUUAACCAUAAACUAUGCCGACUAGGGAUCGGAUGAUGUUAAUUUUUUAAUGACUCAUUCGGCGCCUUACG
rnacentral:rRNA from 1 species